rnacentral:lncRNA from 1 species
UAGCAACGGACUAGCAAAAAAAUACGCGGGUCAGGCAAUGGGUUAAAACAGGAGGCGGGUCAAAAAAAGGGAACGGAAGGGCUUCCUGCCUGGUUUUGGGGCUCGCCGACUCUGGCUCGCCUUCACGGCUCUCUCCGCAUUCUCAGUUGCCAGCAGGCUCUAGUCUAAUUUCAGAUUGAGGAAACGGAAGGGCUCCGCCGCUUCUCUGGUUGCCGACUCCGCUCAGUCGUCGACUGAUUCGGUUGAGUUUAUGGAGGGGAAUGGCGGCGGCAUCAGGUGAGUCCCAAUUGCUCAGUUUAUUUCUUUAUUUGUAUUUAGUUUGUCUAUCUGCCUGUUGUAAUAUGGUUAUUUUAAGGGAAUUUUUAUGCGAGGUUGUUCUUGUAUGUGUUUACUGCUACAUUUCAUUGUCAGGUGGGAAUUGAAGUCUGAACUUUAAUUUUGUGAAAAUUUUAAAUUCGUUAAAAUCAGACAGGGAGCUGCCUAAAAAAAUGGAAUUUGGUGUUAGGAUGAUAAUCUGUUAGUGUGUAAAAUUUUGGUGCAAAAAUGGAGUUAUGGAAGUUAGGUUUAAUAAUGUUUGUUCUCACUUAUUGGGGUAUUGGAGUUGUCUAUGAAUGAGUCCAGUUAAGGUUAAGGUAAUUAAGAGAUUUUAGGAGUUUCUGCUUGUUUGCAUGGUGGUGGCUCUUUUAAUUGUUUAGGUAGACUGUAUAUCGAGUCAAGAAUGAAAACAGUCUUGCUAGUCGGGAUAAUACUAAAAACUAUCUAAGUGAUUAUUUGUAGUAAAACAAUUUUCAUCUUGAUUCUGGAACACUUAACAUAAAGCAUUGGUUAAUCUUUUCGAACUUUGACAAAGAAUGGAUUUUUUGUUGUUAAUUAAUUAGAUAUCAAAAUAAAUUACACAUGUUGACCCUUCACUAGGUUAAUGCACAUAUUGUGUAACACAAUAAAACUCAAUUUGAGUGUUUAUCAACUAGCAACAUGAUUUUCUUAACACAACCAGUUUAACAAAUGUAAGAAUUUAUGUUUAAAGUAAUGACUUAACAAAUUUAUGACUGGUUUACCUGACACUGCUUAUAUCUUGGAUAUUUUUAUACAUCAAAUUUAUCACAAUUCAAAUGGGUUGGAUUAGUGUCAUGAAUUAAAGUAACAUCUUUUUUUUUUCAUUUCAGGAUGAGAUUUUGCUGUUGUUGAGAUGGACUGCAUUCUGUAUGAUGUUCAAAUGUAUGUUGUUGAGAAGGACCGCAUUCUGUAUGUUGUUGAAAUGGACCGCAUUCUGUAUGCUGUUGUUUUUCAUUGUAGAAUGAGAUUUUGGAAUGGAGUUAGUUGAGAUUUUAUCAUGUUGUUGAGAUGGACUGCAUUCAGUUUCUGCCUUUCAUUUUGUGAUAUUGGCAGUGGAGCAGUGGUCAUUUUGUCAUUUUGUAUGACUGCAUUCUUUAUGAUGAUCAAGUGUGUGUUUUCUUAUGCAUAAGAGCAAUAUUAGGAUUUUCGUAUAUAUAAGUGUGUGUUUUCUUAUGUAUAAUUUCAUCAAGUACUUUUGACUUGCAUUAUCCUGAUCAACUUCUCUGAUAAUAUCUUCAAGGAAAACAUCAGUCAUGUUAUGUUCUGCACAAGCUUGUUGGAGCUCAUCGACUGUGAUAUAACCACUUCCAUCUUUGUCAAAAUACUGAAAUGCUGCCAUGAACUUGUCUAUACGGAGAUGAUUUUAAGUUUUCAUAGAAUACAAAUAUUUGUA